AACGAACGCUGGCGGCAGGCUUAACACAUGCAAGUCGAACGGUUGUAGCAAUACAGCAGUGGCAGACGGGUGAGUAACACGUGGGAACCUUCCUAGGGGUACGGAACAACUCAGGGAAACUUGAGCUAAUACCGUAUACGUCCGUGAGGAGAAAGAUUUAUCGCCCUUAGACGGGCCCGCGUCGGAUUAGCUAGUUGGUGGGGUAACGGCCUACCAAGGCGACGAUCCGUAGCUGAUCUUAGAGGAUGAUCAGCCACACUGGGACUGAGACACGGCCCAGACUCCUACGGGAGGCAGCAGUGGGGAAUCUUGGACAAUGGGCGCAAGCCUGAUCCAGCCAUGCCGCGUGAGUGAAGAAGGUCUUCGGAUUGUAAAGCUCUUUUACCAGGGACGAUAAUGACGGUACCUGGAGAAUAAGCCCCGGCAAACUUCGUGCCAGCCGCCGCCGUAAUAC
rnacentral:rRNA from 1 species